rnacentral:tRNA from 1 species
GCCUGGCUGGCUCAGUCAGUAGAGCAUGUGACUCAACAUCUCAGGGUUGUGAGUUCAAGCCCCACGUUGGGUG